rnacentral:rRNA from 1 species
GACGAACGCUGGCGGCGUGCUUAACACAUGCAAGUCGAGCGGUAAGGCCCUUUCGGGGGUACACGAGCGGCGAACGGGUGAGUAACACGUGGGUGACCUGCCCUCAGCUCUGGGAUAAGCCUGGGAAACUGGGUCUAAUACCGGAUAUGACUCCAUGACGCAUGUUGUGGGGUGGAAAGCCUUGUGCGGCUGAGGAUGGGCCCGCGGCCUAUCAGCUUGUUGGUGGGGUGANGGCCUACCAAGGCGACGACGGGUAGCCGGCCUGAGAGGGCGACCGGCCACACUGGGACUGAGACACGGCCCAGACUCCUACGGGAGGCAGCAGUGGGGAAUCUUGCGCAAUGGGCGAAAGCCUGACGCAGCGACGCCGCGUGAGGGAU